ACUCCUACGGGAGGCAGCAGUGGGGAAUCUUGCGCAAUGCGCGAAAGCGUGACGCAGCAACGCCGCGUGCGGGAAGAAGGCCUUAGGGUUGUAAACCGCUUUCAGUUGGGACGAGCUUCAGGGGUUUAAUAGCCAGUUGGAGUGACGGUAACCUUCAGAAGAAGCUCCGGCUAACUACGUGCCAGCAGCCGCGGUAAUACGUAGGGGGCGAGCGUUGUCCGGAAUCAUUGGGCGUAAAGCGCGUGUAGGCGGUUCAGUAAGUCUGCUGUGAAAGUCCAGGGCUCAACCCUGGGAUGCCGGUGGAUACUGCUGAACUAGAGUCUGGGAAGGGGCGAGUGGAAUUCCUGGUGUAGCGGUGGAAUGCGCAGAUAUCAGGAGGAACACCUAUGGCGAAGGCAGCUCGCUGGG
rnacentral:rRNA from 1 species